rnacentral:rRNA from 1 species
GGCACCUUCGGUGUCCGAGUUGUAAUUUGAAGAAGGUAACUUUGGAGUUGGCUCUUGUCUAUGUUCCUUGGAACAGGACGUCACAGAGGGUGAGAAUCCCGUGCGAUGAGAUGUCCAACUCUAUGUAAAGUGCUUUCGAAGAGUCGAGUUGUUUGGGAAUGCAGCUCUAAGUGGGUGGUAAAUUCCAUCUAAAGCUAAAUAUUGGCGAGAGACCGAUAGCGAACAAGUACAGUGAUGGAAAGAUGAAAAGAACUUUGAAAAGAGAGUGAAAAAGUACGUGAAAUUGUUGAAAGGGAAGGGUUUGAGAUCAGACUUGGUAUUUUGUAUGUCUUGCUUUCGGGUGGGGCCUCUGCAGUUUACUGGGCCAGCAUCGGUUUGGACGGUAGGAUAAUGACAUUGGAAUGUGGCACUACUUCGGUGGUGUGUUAUAGACUUUGUUGAUACUGCCUGUCUAGACCGAGGACUGCGUCUUUGACUAGGAUGCUGGCAUAAU